rnacentral:lncRNA from 1 species
AAAAUAAAUAAGCCCUUUAAAUUAAGUUGAAUUGAGAGGGAGAUGAGAGGAGAAACAGGAGUAAGGAGAAAGAGAAACAACGAGAGGAAGAAGAAUAUGUGGAAGUGGACAUCCCCUGCCUUCCCAGCUCCAUGUCCUCCACUGGUAUUUUGAGGGGUUUGAUUGACAGACAGACAGGCCAAACUCCGUUCAACAGCACGACUGAAACGUACAACGAGACUUACAUUGCCAUUACCUGUGAAAUGUUGGCAGCUCACACCCCAACUGGAAUCACUGGCCAAAUUAAACCAGCCCGGGCUGUCGGCACUCCCUCUCCCUGAGGAUGGAUGGUGAACGGCAAUGAUCCUCCACAGCAGAGAGAGAGACCAGGAGCGGAGGAGUCACUCCCCCUCAGGGCCUCGGGUCUACAUGGGGCUUCUGUGGAAAACCCAGUCAAAGGAGUCUCCUUUGUCUUCACGCGGAAACAGACCACCGAGAACCACUCAUCAGAACCAGUCAUCAGAACCAGUCAUCAGAACCACUCAUAAGAACCACUCAUCAGAACCAGUCAUCAGAACCACUCAUCAGAACCACUCAUCAGAACCAGUCAAUGUAAGUGAAGUAUGAUACUGUAGUGAUAGAUUAUGAAUAGUUAUAAUUCUUUAGGAACAAUA